rnacentral:rRNA from 1 species
UCGGGAAUUUUGGGCAAUGGGCGAAAGCCUGACCCAGCAACGCCGCGUGAAGGAUGAAGUAUUUCGGUAUGUAAACUUCGAAAGAAUAGGAAGAAUAAAUGACGGUACUAUUUAUAAGGUCCGGCUAACUACGUGCCAGCAGCCGCGGUAAUACGUAGGGACCAAGCGUUGUUCGGAUUUACUGGGCGUAAAGGGCGCGUAGGCGGCAAUUCAAGUCAUCUGUGAAAUCUCCGGGCUUAACUCGGAACGGUCAGAUGAUACUGCUUUGCUAGAGUGCAGAAGGGGCAAUCGGAAUUCUUGGUGUAGCGGUGAAAUGCGUAGAUAUCAAGAGGAACACCUGAGGUGAAGACGGGUUGCUGGGCUGACACUGACGCUGAGGCGCGAAAGCCAGGGGAGCAAACGGGAUUAGAUACCCAAGUAGUCCCUGAGCGGGCUGGCAAGGCG